rnacentral:rRNA from 1 species
UACGUAGGGUGCGAGCGUUAAUCGGAAUUACUGGGCGUAAAGCGUGCGCAGGCGGUUUUGUAAGCCAGAGGUGAAAUCCCCGGGCUUAACCUGGGAAUGGCAUUUGGGACUGCAAGGCUCGAGUGCGGCAGAGGAGACUGGAAUUCCUGGUGUAGCAGUGAAAUGCGUAGAUAUCAGGAGGAACACCGAUGGCGAAGGCAGGUCUCUGGGCUGACACUGACGCUCAUGCACGAAAGCGUGGGGAGCAAACAGG